GAAAAAAAAGAAGAUUGGUAACAGAUGUUAGGUCAGGUGUCAAUCUUUAAAGAAAAACAUGUUGUACACCUUUUUGAAUUAUACAUAAAUGGAACCAUGUAGUAUAUACUCUUAAUUCUUAUAUGGUCCUUUGAUUUUUUAAAAAAUGUAUGAUUUGAAUAUGUGAAGUUUAUUUUAUGUAAUUAAACUUCAGUGCAUUAGUUAAGAAUUAAAAAUUUUUGGUGGUGCAUGGCUCAAAGAAGGAUUUAGAGCACAUGUAGCUGAAUCACACCUAAAGUGGUGGGAAAUAUGUCUUCUAACUUGGAUGAAGUCAAAGUGUCAUAUAUGAAUAUGAGAACAGUGGAAUUAAAAUAAGUAAUUAACGUUUGAUAAACCCUUUUUUUCCAUAAGCUAAAGACUGAUCUUCACAUAUAAAAGGAGGAAACUUAACUAAAAUUGUUCAUGACAGACGAGCACUACAAUUGCACACAUUAUGUAUUCACCCAAGAUCCACAGUAUAGAGACUGACAGCUGACAAUAGGUCCAUUAGUGGGUGACCACAGCUCAGAACAACUCUCCUCAAUAUAACCCAACUUGAUAACAAGUGCAUUAUAUUAAUCCUUUUGCUUUUAGAAUGACUUGUUAUGCAGCAACAGCUGAUACAAUAGCCAAAGUGAACAGAACCGAAGGAAAUUAUAAUAAUCUGUCACUUCUCAUUCUAGGCAUUUGUUCUGAUAUUUGAAGAUAUCAUUCAUGAUUACUCUGUUAUUCAAGAUUACUUCAUCUAACUCUAUUAAAAAUUGACUCCAUUGAGGGUCCUAACAGAGAACCAAAGAAUUUGAAAUGAUGUGCGCGUUUGUGCAAAACUUGUGUGACUCUGAUUCAUAGGACUGGACAAGAAUUCAAGCUCUCUAUCACAAGCAUCUUUGUGAUGGUGAUGGAGUUGAAACAAAUGUCUACAAUGGAGAGGUUGGAGAGUAAGAAGUACACAGGUGUUUGAAGAUGUGAUGAGAUGACUUGGAUGAGGUGUAGGCAAAUGGCUCAGAUGAUGAGCAGAUUUCCAAAUGCAUUGAUCAGGUUGAAUUACAACAGAAAAUGCCUUUACCCAGGCAAAACUAAAUGAAGGAUUUGAGAAGCUUAAUCUGUCUCUGGAACAAGAUUUUAUUGGAUAAUUGUAUCUGUUAAAUUCCUAAUGUGUCCUUACCCUCCCAUCUCAUCACCAGUGGCCCAUGGCAUCCUAACCCACCUCUCUCAUCAACAGGGUUAGGCUUAGAGUUAGGGCUAAGGCUAGGGCUAUGGCUAGAGCUACAGAUAAGGGUAGGGUGCCCACAGCACAGCAUCCUAACCUUCGCAUCCCAUCAUCAGGUUCCCAGGGCGUCCUAACCCUCCUGUCUCAUCAUCAGUCAGGUUACAGGUUCAUUAUAUAUUAUACUCACCUUAAAUCCAAACCUGAAAAUACAUAACCAUGCCCAUGUCCAAAUGCAAAUCUAAAUGUAAACCUACACCUGUACCUACGUUUGUAUCUAUCUAAAUGUACACCCAUGUCUAUCUACCUGAAAGGCAGACGGCUUCAUUUGGGGGAAUCUCUCCCAAGGACAGCUGUCAAAUGAGAUU